GACGAACGCUGGCGGCGUGCCUAACACAUGCAAGUCAACUUGAGGGAAGGAGCAAUCUGACCUGAUGGUGGCGCAAGGGUGCGUAACGCGUAAGUAACUUGCCCCAAGGUAAGGAAUAACGUCGAGAAAUCGGCGCUAAUACCUCAUAAUGCAGCGGAUCCGCAUGGAUAUGUUGUUAAAGGUUUACCGCCUUGGGGAUAGGCUUGCGUCUGAUUAGCUAGUUGGUGUGGUAAUGGCACACCAAGGCUACGAUCAGUAACUGGUCUGAGAGGAUGAUCAGUCACACUGGAACUGAGACACGGUCCAGACUCCUACGGGAGGCAGCAGUGAGGAAUAUUGGGCAAUGCACGAAAGUGUGACCCAGCAACGCCGCGUGGAGGAUGAAGGUACUCUAUAUCGUAAACUCCUGUGAGUAGCAGACGAAAGACAGAUUAUAA
rnacentral:rRNA from 1 species